GACGAACGCUGGCGGCGUGCUUAACACAUGCAAGUCGAACGGAAAGGCCCUGCUUGCAGGGUACUCGAGUGGCGAACGGGUGAGUAACACGUGGGUGAUCUGCCCUGCACUUCGGGAUAAGCCUGGGAAACUGGGUCUAAUACCGGAUAGGAGCCAUCUUUAGUGUGAUGGUUGGAAAGUUUUUUCGGUGUAGGAUGAGCUCGCGGCCUAUCAGCUUGUUGGUGGGGUAAUGGGCUACCAAGGCGGCGACGGGUAGCCGGCCUGAGAGGGUGGACGGCCACAUUGGGGCUGAGGUACGGCCCAGACUCCUACGGGGGGCAACAGUGGGGAAUAUUGCACAAUGGGCGCAAGCCUGAUGCAGCGACGCCGCGUGGGGGAUGACGGCCUUCGGGUUGUAAACUCCUUUCGCUAGGGACGAAGCUUUUUGUGACGGUACCUAGAUAAGAAGCACCGGCUAACUACGUG
rnacentral:rRNA from 1 species